rnacentral:rRNA from 1 species
UUGAACGCUGGCGGCAUGCUUUACACAUGCAAGUCGAACGGUAACAGGGAGCUUGCUCCGCUGACGAGUGGCGAACGGGUGAGUAAUGCAUCGGAACGUGCCUAUUUGUGGGGGAUAACGUAGCGAAAGUUACGCUAAUACCGCAUACGCCCUGAGGGGGAAAGCGGGGGACCGUAAGGCCUCGCGCGAUUGGAGCGGCCGAUGUUCGAUUAGCUAGUUGGUGGGGUAAAGGCCUACCAAGGCGACGAUCGAUAGCUGGUCUGAGAGGACGACCAGCCACACUGGAACUGAGACACGGUCCAGACUCCUACGGGAGGCAGCAGUGGGGAAUUUUGGACAAUGGGGGAAACCCUGAUCCAGCCAUUCCGCGUGAGUGAAGAAGGCCUUCGGGUUGUAAAGCUCUUUCAGGAGGGAAGAAACGGUUACGGAUAAUACCUGUGACUAAUGACGGUACCUUCAGAAGAAGCACCGGCUAACUACGU